GGCUAGGCUUCCAUCUUCAUUGUAGCGGAAGGCGUUGAGGAAAGUGGUAACAAGAUGGAGAGAGUUACUAAGCUGCCGGUAAUCCUGACCAUGUUUCUGGUGGUCCUUGCCUGGGAUGUUGAAGGAGGAAGGACACUUAAAGUUGACCACCCACAAAACUACUUUGGAAGCUUUGGUGGAACUGGUUCAGUCAUCCCAAGCCCUUUUGGUCAUACCAUUGCCC
rnacentral:misc_RNA from 1 species